rnacentral:tRNA from 1 species
GCCUGUGUGGCUUAGCUGGUUAAGUGUCUGACUUCAGCUCAGGUCGUGAUCUCACUGUUUGUGGGUUCAAGCCCCAUGUUGGGCC